rnacentral:rRNA from 1 species
UACGGAGGAUCCGAGCGUUAUCCGGAAUUAUUGGGUUUAAAGGGUGCGUAGGCGGCCAUUUAAGUCAGCGGUGAAAUUUUGCAGCUUAACUGUAACAGUGCCGUUGAUACUGAUAGUCUUGAGUUUGGUUAAGGUAGGCGGAAUGUGUAAUGUAGCGGUGAAAUGCUUAGAUAUUACACAGAACACCAAUUGCGUAGGCAGCUUACUGAGCCGACACUGACGCUGAGGCACGAAAGCGUGGGGAUCAAACAGGAUUAGAUAU